AAAGCCUGAGCUUGGUAGAAGGAUCAUCGCAUUUCAGGAGAACGAGGUAGAGCGGAUAAAAGGAAAAUGCUUCUUCCAAAGACAUUCCUCCUACUCUAUCUGCUUCUCCUUUCCACUUCAUUCAUUCCAAAUGGGACCACUGCUAGGGAGCUUGUUAAACCAAGAACUAGUGGCCAGACGCCAGCGGAUGCCACGGGCAUCAUCGGAUAUCGUGCCCCCUUGGUGCCUCCGCCUCCCCUUCGCAACGUUCCACACAUCCCAUAUCGUCGCAAGUGCAACAGCUAUUACCGUUGUGCACCCCCGGUCCCAUAGCUGCAGAGUAAAAUCGCAGGUGUACUACUAGUAAUGGCGGCAGCAGGUGCUCCAUCCUCGCGUAUACUGCCUUGAAAUUGGCAUAUGAACUAAAUAAGCAGUCGUAUCAUGAUGCCAUUUUCGAUCGCUUUGUUGUACGCGUAUGUGUACCUAAUGGUAGUUGGGAAUUUCAAAGCUGCCGCGUUGUUUCUGUUGCUGUUAUAUUCAGAUGCAUGCCCAGGAUCUGACGCUGGUGGUGCUCUCGGGUGCAGCGUUGCUACACUACUACGACGCCAAGCAUGCCAUCGAUGACGACGAAAAACUUCAGUCCUUAAAUUGUAGCGAGUGCAUAUCCAGCCUCCACCUUAGCUUUCAUUGCAGAUCUGCAUUCGAAAUGAACGACCUCUUCGUCUCUACGGCCUCCUUCAAAAAGCACACCGACCUGAAGCAGCUGGUCCACCUGGACGAGAUGGAAGUCCGGCAUGACGGGCGGAAUGGGGGAGGCCGGCAAGGAGAGCGUCAACCUGCACAAGUUCUUCGAGGACGUCGAGACCGUGAAGGACGACCUCCGUGGCCUCGAGAAGCUGUACCGCCGCCUCCAGGGGGCCAACGAGGCUCUAGAGCAAGAAGAAGACGACGAAAGAACUCCGGGCGCGCAUGGAUGCCGACAUCAAUCGAGCAGGUCCUCCGCCGCGCCGAGGCCAUGAAGGGAACCUCCGCCGCCGCCCUCAAAUAUUGAGGCCACUAAAUUUUGUCAGCCUUUUAGUCUAUAUAAAGGUUGCUCAUGUAUAUUGUAAAGACAAGGUAGAAAUACAUUUUUCUUGGCUUUUUUCUUCUUUCAA